GUCGUCGUAGCUCAGCAGGUCGGAGUGCCGCCCUGAUAAGGCGGAGGACGGUGGUUCGAGUCCACCCGGCGACACC
rnacentral:tRNA from 1 species